AACGAACGCUGGCGGCAGGCUUAACACAUGCAAGUCGAGCGCCCCGCAAGGGGAGCGGCAGACGGGUGAGUAACGCGUGGGAAUCUACCCAUCUCUACGGAAUAACGCAUGGAAACGUGUGCUAAUACCGUAUACGUCCUUCGGGAGAAAGAUUUAUCGGAGAUGGAUGAGCCCGCGUUGGAUUAGUUAGUUGGUGGGGGAAAGGCCUACCAAGGCGACGAUCCAUAGCUGGUCUGAGAGGAUGAUCAGCCACACUGGGACUGAGACACGGCCCAGACUCCUACGGGAGGCAGCAGUGGGGAAUAUUGGACAAUGGGCGCAAGCCUGAUCCAGCCAUGCCGCGUGAGUGAUGAAGGCCCUAGGGUUGUAAAGCUCUUUCACCGGUGAAGAUAAUGACGGUAACCGGAGAAGAAGCCCCGGCUAACUUCGUGCCAGCCGCCGCGGUAAUAC
rnacentral:rRNA from 1 species